rnacentral:rRNA from 1 species
AUUGAACGCUGGCGGCAGGCCUAACACAUGCAAGUCGAACGAGUGGCGGACGGGUGAGUAAUGUCUGGGAAACUGCCCGAUGGAGGGGGAUAACUACUGGAAACGGUAGCUCAUACCGCAUACCAUCGGAUGUGCCCAGAUGGGAUUAGCUGGGAGGUGGGGUAACGGCUCACCUAGGCGCCGCUCCCUAGCUGGUCGGAUAGGAUGACCAGCCCAACUGGAACUGAGACGCGGGCCAGACUCCUACGGUGGGCAGCAGUGGGGAAUAUUGCACAAUGGGCGAAAGCCUGAUGCAGCCAUGCCGCGUGUAUGAAGAAGGCCUUCGGGUGGUAAAGUACUUUCAGCGAUGAGGCGUUACGCGCAGAAAAAGCACCGGCUAACUCCGUGCCAGCAGCCGCGGUAAUAC